CUAUGGGGCGCAGCAGGCGAGAAAACUUUGCAAUGUGAGAAAGCACGACAAGGUUAAUCCGAGUGGAUCUGCUAAAGGAAUCCUUUUCAUACUAG
rnacentral:rRNA from 1 species